ACGGAAGGCAGCAGUGGGGAAUAUUGCACAAUGGGGGAAACCCUGAUGCAGCGACGCCGCGUGAGCGAAGAAGUAUUUCGGUAUGUAAAGCUCUAUCAGCAGGGAAGAAGAAAGACGGUACCUGACUAAGAAGCCCCGGCUAACUACGUGCCAGCAGCCGCGGUAAUACGUAGGGGGCAAGCGUUAUCCGGAUUUACUGGGUGUAAAGGGAGCGCAGACGGCAUGGCAAGUCUGAAGUGAAAGGCAUGGGCUCAACCCGUGGACUGCUUUGGAAACUGUCAGGCUAGAGUGUCGGAGAGGCAAGUGGAAUUCCUAGUGUAGCGGUGAAAUGCGUAGAUAUUAGGAGGAACACCAGUGGCGAAGGCGGCUUGCUGGACGAUGACUGACGUUGAGGCUCGAAAGCGUGGGGAGCAAACAGGAUUAGAUACCCUGGUA
rnacentral:rRNA from 1 species